rnacentral:lncRNA from 1 species
ACGACUUUGUCACAGUUUGAAUCCUUGAUCCAUGAAAGAGCCUUGCGCAUGCGUCCAUGACUCCUUGAAAAUGCCUUGACAAAGACCGAAUAAACCUACUUGUAGCAUCUCUAAUAACACCAGCAAAACUGGUCUGGUUCUUGGUGGAAAACGUUGUUAUGUCCACAUUACAUUUAAGCUAACCGUCCUCAGGUGCAGCAAAC